rnacentral:rRNA from 1 species
CACACCGCCCGUCACAUCAUGGGAGUUGGUUUUACCCGAAGCCGCUGGCCUAACCCGCAAGGGAGGGAGGCGUCGAAGGUGAGGCUGAUGACUGGGAUG